CACAUCAACACUUCAUUCAAUACUACUCACCAAACACCCGCCUUCCCCCUCCCUCAUUCAAUGAUUCUCACCAAACAUCAGCCGUCUGAGAGAGAGCGCCGCUGAGAGAGAGAGGGAGUCGGCCAGCCUGGUUCCACCGUCGACGUCGCCAUCGCCAAACACCCGCCCUCCCUCAUUCAAUACUUCAGCCGCUGCAGUAUGAGGGAUACGCCGAUCCUCCGGCGUCUUCCUUACUGAGAAAGAGCGAGAGCCGACGUCGCCAUCGCCCCGCCUGAAACCGUAAGCACGCCGCCGACGUCGCCAUCUCCCCGCCUGAAACCCUAAGCACGCCGUCGACGUCGCCAUCGCCCCGCCUGAAACCCUAAGCACGCCGCCGCCGCCUCGCUCGUCUGCUACCAGAGUUUCACGCCUUCUCAUGCACUCUUUUCUCCAGGAAAAUAAAAGAUGAAUGAUACUCAUUCCGAUCCUCAAUACGAAGAGGAGGAAGAGGAGGUGGACGAGACGUCCCAAGACAGUUUGGAGGAAGAGGAGGUCGCAGUGCAGCCGCAGAGGCGGAGGGGGAGGCGGAGGGGAAGACGACGAGGCCCACGAAAUGUCGCCCGCGAUGAGUAUGAAGAACCACCACCCCCGCCUCGUUAUGAAUGGAUGCGGCCGUGCAUGCAAACCUAUCAAGGACGGAUUAAUCUUUACCUUCGUUAUGAAGUCUUGGCAGAGGUCAUAACGUGCUUGUACUCAUUUGGGGCACAUGUUUUAGACAAGUUCUUAGUUGGUCCCAGGUUUCGUGUACAAUUUCGUGCAGUUGAUAACUAUGGAUGAUCCCAGGUUUCGUGUAUGUCUUUGUGUUCUAAUUUACAGAUUUCGUGUACUACUCGUGUACUGAAGAAAUAGGUUUCGUGUAUGCCUUCGUGCACUUGAUAUCAAUAAAUAA